rnacentral:lncRNA from 1 species
GAGAGGUGUGUCACAAUGGACAACUUAAGUACCAGGUCUUUCCUUAGCCAAAGUGUUCCUCAACUUAUUAACAAAUUUCUUAUUCACAGAUUCAAAAUAACAACAUAUAAUAUUAUCACAAAAGUUCAAAUAGUUAUACAACAAACACAUAGUUUCUUCAUUAACAGUAAUUGCAUAUAAUUUCAAGACAUAAAUAAUUAUUAAAAAAAUAUUUUAUAAUAUAAAAAAAAAACUUAGAAAGGUUAGCUCUCCUUACCUCUUUUCCAGACUUAGUUUCCUACUCAAGAGUUGUUGCUCCGAAAAUCCUCCAGAAUUUCUACUCUCUUUGCAACCAAAAUUUCUUCCUAAUUCUUUCCUUUUGUCCCUUUCUUUCUUUCUCUCUUAUUUUCUUUUCUUCUUGUGCAAAAUCCUUCUCCUCCCCACCUUGGCUAUUUAUAGCCAAAAAAAAUUUUACUAUUCAAUUUUUUUUUAAAUAAUAUUUUAAUCAUCCACCACCCAAUGUUCUUAUCUGCUUCUUCAAUGUCUCGUAAGAUGCCUUAUCCACUAGGCACUAUUCACAUUUUAUUAAUU